CUACUUGCACUGGUGGGUCAUGGCGACAUUGCGUCGGCGUUGCGGCGGCGAGAUGGCGCUACGGGCCUAGGGUCUUGACUGGCGUUAAGUGGUUUCAGUUUGAGGAUGCUGGAUGCGGGACUCAAGGGGGGAUGGGGUGCGACAUGUUGAGCCCAUCACUGCCGUGCCCUCCCCUGCAUCCACACAUGGCGACGGCAGAGACAACCGCAUCCUUACCAGCGGCACCCGCGUUUGCGGCCCGAUGGAGAAGGAGAAGGACCUGUUGUUGUCGCCGGAAUUGCGGCGCAGGUAUGUUUGCUCUCUCUCACAUCCCUGCUGUCUCUCGCAUCUUCUAUUUCUUUUUCAGCAGGCGGCAGGAGCGGCGAAGAUGCAGAGGGGCGCACUUCCACCGGCGGGUCCACGGAUCCCAGCGAGCGGCGGCCGUGUAAUCUGGUCGCGAGUGCGUUCUCCACUCCACGGCGGACGACAACAUUAGGGAUCAGUUAAGGAAGACGACCAACCAACAAUAGAAGUAGAAGCGACAGAGAAUCCUUCAUCGGCAUCGCAGCAACCAGGGAGAUUCAUGAGUUUGACCUACCAGAUGGAUGUGUGCACCCUUCACAAUCUGCGGUUUUUCUGCAGCGUCACGCCUCCAGUCAACUCAGCUAUUGGAUAAGCAAAGUAUGCCGACCAUGCUUCACCUUCCUCAGGCGAUCACAGGUGAGCAUCAACUCUUAUGGAUAUAUCUUUGAAGCUUGAAAUCUUCCAGGAUGGUUCUUGAUCUAGACAAUGCUUCUUGCUUUCAAGCUAAACCAGUUUGGCUUUCAUAAGUAGAUUGAGCUUGGAUUGUUCUUCAAUCUGUACAUGCUCAUCCUGUAUUUUUCCAGGGAAUGGUUUCUCUUCUUUAGGCUAGCUUCCAGCUAUUAUAUGUCAAGUGAUGUUCAUUGCAAUUCUAUAUUACAUAACCUUUAAGAUUAAAUUCAUGACCAAUUCUGCCAAUCGUGGCCAUCAUUUUAUAAACUUGGUGAUGUGCUUAGCUCAGCUAAUUAAAUCGUUACCUGAUAUUGUUUAAUGAGUAUGAACAUUGGAAUUUUGUUAUACUUCUAUUUUCGGUUGCGGCUCUAAUAUAUAUCUCUAGGUGAUAUUUACCAACUGAAGUACUCAUCCCAUGAUCUAUCCUCACAUAUGUAAAGAUUCUUCUCCAAGUAGUUUAUUGAAAUAAUGUGCCGUUGUGAUGAUGUAAGAUAUUUCUUAGUAGAGCUUCAAACAGUUCUUUGUUUUAUUUUAUGUUUGGUAAUACACGAUUUAUACCUGAGAAGCUACCGUAGCUGAAUUGGUAGACUUUGUUGGAAAUUCUUGCUGCUCCUCACAAGGUCAUGCUUAUGUUCUGAUGCUUCCAUUUAGUUUGCUUAAGUUUCCGAGAACUGGUCAUUAUAUAGUAAUAGUUAGAAGGUUACAUUAACAAUACCUUGGAUAGGUUCAUUGAUCUAAAUUGUCAACAUAUAUGCUCGGUGUGGAUUAUGUAUUGUCCAUUGCAUCUGAAUUUGUGAAUGGUCUGCAUGCCAUUGUUCGGGUCACAUCUUCCUUUGCUAGAAUGUGAGCUGAUUUCACCUCUGGCCUCAAGUUGCUCCCGUCAUUGCCUCCUCAUAGGUUGUUUAAUUGAUUGUUUAAACCUUUUUUUUCUUAUUCUUGAUAGAUAAGCUAGCUAUAUGAAAUAUGCUUCUAGAUUCUCCAUGUUCCAGUAAUGGCACACUUCAUUUAUGUUAUACCUACCGUGCUUUUUUUUGUUUUCGAUGAAAACUACAGAGAUAUGAUAGGUAGAACAACUGCUAUGUAAUGGCACACUUCAUGUAUGUAUCCUUGCACUUUGGAGAAAAGAAGGUAAGAAAUAUCUCUUUUGUGACGAAACACUUUCAAAAAUCUCCUUUUUAUGAUGACAUCAUUGAAUAAGACCUAAUGGAGUAAGGUGCAUUUGUUUUUUGAUGACAUGGCAAGGCCAGGAAAAGAGUUAUACAUUUACAUUGGCUUUUAGAAAUUCCAAUGUUGACUAAUAUGGAUUAUCAAAGGGUUGUUUCCCACUGACGCUUUACACUUCUCUGUCUCAGAAAAUAUUACAUCACGAGGAGACAAGUUAUUGGUCAAUAUAGCCAUAAUGCGACCUGACCAUUUUACUGGUAGUUUACUCCUAAUACCAGCUCCUGAGUGGAUUUUCUCAAACAUUUGAUAAUUCAGUACUAUAUUUCAAAGUCCCAACUACAAUCUCACAUUACAUGCACCAUGAUUAGUUACACACAUAAAAAUAUGUCAUUAAAGUGUGGUGCAUUGGUCUGCACUUCCAUGAUGUAGCAGAUUUUGUGUCGUUCUUUUUCUCAAUUGAGGUUGUUAAAUUCUAUGAGAUUUGAGGUUCUCGAGCCACAGAACACUGGCAUCAUCCAAUGAGAACACACAAACAUGUUCAAGAUGGCUUGUCUCAUUCUCUACAUAGAUUAUACAUAAUUUCAAAUUGUGGAUUGUUUUUUGAGAAGAACUGUGGAUCUUUCCAUGAAUAUUUGAGAAUUGUGCUUCUAUUCAGUGUAUUGCCUUUUCUCAUGUUCUUUUUCUUAAGUGAGUAAUUUCAAGGGUGAAAAGUGUGAUGUCAAUGGUUUUCCUUUGCUCAGCCUUUCUCAUCAUUAUUGGAUUGUUAUGUUUUGUAUCCUUUGUUAUAUACAGCUAAAAGGGCAAGUGACAUUUGUUCAUAGUACAUAAGCACAGUUAUCAGUCAUACAUGCAUGCAAAGAAGGUACGUUAGGAGACAUCAUAUCUUCUAGAUAGGAUUUUUUUUGUCUUGCUUUGACUUAUAAUAAGCUAUGCUCGGGAAAUUCUAGCUUUUACACUUAUGGAUAGUAAUAUUUACAUUUGAAUGCGGCGAGGGAUAUCUUGUGGUGACAAUAAGAUGGUUUCUGGUAACAAUUCCUUUUUUGGAGUUCAAUUCAUAGGGGAUGUGAGAAUGAAUACCUAAUCAAACUGGAGACAGAAGUUCAGGUUUUCCAAUAGUGUCUAGAAGAAGUAGUUGUGGUAUACAACAAAUAUGAAGGGUCAUAUGUAAGAAAGUUGUGUGUGAUACGUCUCCGACGUAUCGAUAAUUUCUUAUGUUCCAUGCCACAUUAUUGAUGUUAUCUACAUGUUUUAUGCACACUUUAUG